rnacentral:misc_RNA from 1 species
UACAGAGACCUCAAGCGUUGUCCGGAUUUAUUGGGUGUAAAGGGUCCGCAGGCGGUUUGAUAAGUUUCUCGUCAAAUCUUGGAGCUCAACUCUAAGACUGCGGGGAAAACUAUCAAACUAGAGACCGGUAGAGGUAAACGGAACGGAUGGUGUAGCGGUAAAAUGCGUUAAUAUCAUCCGGAACACCAAAUGCGUAGGCAGUUUACUGGAACGGUUCUGACGCUCAGGGACGAAAGCGUGGGUAGCGAAUGGG